UUUGUUUUUAGGGCCACACCUGCGGCAUAUGGAAGUUCCCAGGCUAGGGGUCCAAUUGGAGCUACAGCUGCUGGCCUACACCACAGCCGCAGCAGCCCAGGAUCCGAACCUCAUCUUCAACCUGCACCGCAGCUCACGGCAAUGCUGGAUGCUCAACCCACUGAGUGAGGCCAGGAAGCAAACCUGCAUUCUCAUGGAUACCACUAGUCAGGUUCAAAACCUGCUAAGCAAGAACAGGAACUCUGAAAUGUAAGUUUAAAAGGGUUAAAAUGGUGGUGGGGGGGAACCACCAAGUGAAAUGAGUAAUUAUGGGACAUUCUAAUUCUAUCAUCUCCUAAAUUCAUAAAAACCAAUAUUUUUGACAAGGAAAAAAGAGAUUACAGGUAUAAUAGAGAAAGUAAGUAAAAACUCGGAGUCCCAAUUCGAACUGAGAGUAUUCGUAUGAACUCAUGAGAUAUUUUAUCUAUAAUGUGUGUGCCUAUAGAAAGGGCUAAGAUACCUAUGUCUAGCUGUCUACUGAAAAGCCUACAAACAGUGACUGACUCAGGAUCCCUAGUAUAUAGAUGAUGAUCUUGAAGUGCCAUUUCCUUCUAAAAGAAACCAGAGUUUCUUGAAGAAAUGACAAUUUCAGAUUUGGAAUAGAAUUUUUUCAAGGUAUCAGACAACAAGAAAACUAUGAAGGACUAGUUGGGUCAUAACAAAAGGACAGGAUUGAAUAAUGAUAAUAACAACUGCAAUGAAAUGAAACCCAUCAAAUGUUUAAAUUCAUGACCUCUUGCUCAUAUUAGAUUUUAAAACAUAGUUGUCUUCAGAAGGAACCAAUUCACUUUCUCAAAAAUUGGUAUAUAGAUGGAAAGAAUCCAAUAUUGAAACUGCCUUUCUUAAAGGAAUUGUACUGCUGUGUAUACAAAUGAUAGAUAAGGGACUAAUAUUCCAACUAAUAAGUAAAAAAGACAUUAUCAAAUUAGAAUACCAUGCAACCUUCAAUAAACAUAAAUAGGCAUCAAGUAUCAACAAGUGCUGAAAACAUAAAGAGGAACAAAGAGACAUUCCACCCUUCCUAUGGUCUUGCCAAAUAUCACCUAGAGAAUUAUCCUCUCCAGCCAUAUCACCCUGAACAAGUGCCUGAUCUCCUCUGAUCACGUAAAGUGAGCAUUAGGGUCGGGCCUGGUUAAAUAUGGAUUUAUGAAAAAACUAACACAAGGAGGCGACUAGUAUAAAAGUCAGAAAAAUAGCUACUAAUGAGAGGACAAAAGCAGUUGUGAUUGGGAUAAGCAAAUUCUUGGCAUGGCUAGCUAGCAUAGUUCUCCACCCUACCCUGGGUGGUAUCAGAUUUUAAUAAUUCAUUAAGCUAUACAUUUGGUAUAUGUGUUCUUUUCUGUUUGAUUUCAUAAUAAAAAGUCAUUUUUUAAUAAAAACAUUUUGUUAAAUAACAAUAAAAGCAAAAGGAACAGUGCCUGGCACACAGCAAGACAGGUGGUGAUCAGAGUUGGUGACCAGCUACUUGUACUAUCUUAAAUAGUUACUUAACCUCUUCAGUUUCCUUGAUUGGGUUUAAAAUAUCUGAUAGGAUUAUGAAGAGGUCAAAAGGAAAUAAAUACAUAACAUACCUCAGUCAUAGCACGUUCCUCUUACACUUUUCACCUGGUCAUUCAAGUUGAUCAGAAUGAAAUGAUCACCCAGUGAGCCUCACGUCUGAAACUGCAUCUUCAUCUAGGUUUCAAAAAGAUAAACAGGCCCACAUCUUAAACAUUCAUCUCCUAUUAAGAAUGAUUUGUGUUAUCCUCAGAGCAGGUAUUCUUGGUGUUAAUGACUGACUACAGGGAGCUGCAUCUACUGAAUCAACUGCUAAUGGACUCCAGUGCUCACCACCACGUGCCUUCACCCUUGCCUUCUCUCCCCUCGUCUUUCUUUGUUUUGUUGAAACAUAUACCUGAGAGCCCAACUCUAUUAUCAUCUAGCAUCAAAUCUGAUUCUGACUUCAAAGGUAUUCAAACAAUAUUCUCAUUGGCAAGGGUACUCUCAGACAACUGGUACUGAAACACAAAGACAAGGAGAACAACUAUCAAUUUCACCUGUGACAAAGCCCUUCUUUUCAGAGGUCUAUGCUGUGAAAUUAAUGUUACAGAUAGUUUGCAGCAGCAUUUUCCCCACUACGGGCUAUGCCAGGACACAGGUCUGUGAGUCACCAGAAGAGACCCAGUGCUUCCCAGGACCAAAGCAGAUGGUGCGGCUUGCUUUAAGCAGUGUCAUAAGAUACCUAAAGUAAAACUGUGGGAAAAGGAGUUGCGGGGUAGGAGUUGGUUCAUACACACCACAGAAAACCAAGCACAGAGAAGCCAAACAUAGUUCUGUUUGCACUGUCUAGGUUUCCCAAGAGCCCUUUGGUAACUUACCCCUUAUAGGUUUGGAGCCCCUGGCUCAUGCCCCAUACAUUAAAAUGUAGUUGCUUUUCACUACUUUUUUGGGGACAAGCUGGGAAUAAAGCAUGGCUGGUAGCUGUUCUUUUUUGAGUCACCUCAAAACCUGUAAUUAGCUUUCUCAAAAGCACAUAUUUCACUUUACUGCAAUAAAUGGAAUGUGCAAUGCUUUCAAAGUCUCUAUUGUCUGUUAAAUGCAAAAGCGCCAUCCCAAAAAUAUACCAAUACACUGUUUAACGUUCCUAAGAAGCGAAUCUAAGGAAACAGAAUUAGGAUCGGAUCUUACCUCGAUUAAAUCAUCCUGCCCCAGGAGAGGUUACAUAAAAGGUUAGAAUAGGCCACUAAGCAGAAGCUGCGGGCAAAACCCUAGCCAGCCAGCCACCUUUUUCCCAAGGUGAGGUGGGGAAGGCCCGGGUCUACUUGACAAUACCAAAAGUAAAAACAAAACAAAACCUCAUGCAGAAGAAGAUUGAGGCCAAAAGAGGUAAUGCCCGCACAGUCUUUACCAUUAUUAUGUAUAGAAAAUAAAGUGGUACAGAAACCCUUCUACAUUUCAACAUUUCCAUCUCACUGAUUUUCUUAAUAAAAUCAUAUUAGAUUCCACAUAAAGAGACUCUCCAACUCUGCAAAGAUUACUUAAACCAGAGAAGGGAUUACUCACCUACCCCUUUGUGUAUCCCCCACCUUCUGCUACGAGCCUUCACUCGCCAAGUUACCUUCCCAGGCACCUAGAUUCUGAAACGUGGGGCGAGACCCCCCGGCCAGCGCAUGGGGACGGAGUAACUACCAACAACUAUCCAGAAUCCAGGCUGCGCCAGGUAUCCGUCCAAGCUUCACACUCACUACCUCAAUUAACCUUCUCAACCACCUUGUAAGGAAAGAUUUACCAGCUGUCGUCUACAACUGAAGAAACUGAUGCGCUGAGAUGUUAAAUGAGGAGCCAAAGAUCACAAGGGGCGAGGAGCCAGGACUAGGACCAGGUCGAUCAGGUUCCCCCCACCCGCCCCCAAACUCCUUAUCCAGGGAUUUUUAACUGGCGCCAACCCGUCCCAGGCAGCUCCUCUCUGGGGACCCCAGUAAGGGUCAGUAUGACCACUCGCAUUGCGCAGACGAGACCAUUUCCGGUGGAAGCUCAAGCAGGGGCUCCAGGCAAAGCCUCUGUGAACCCCGAAGGCCGCUUACCUUCCUCAGCUGCCGCCUCUCU
ensembl:lncRNA